UAUUGCACUGGGCUCUGAUCUCCUUUGAAGACACAGUGCACCCCGGGACUUUGACUCUCAGGGAGUCUGA